GUCCAGGGUAGUCUAAUGGACAUGGCAUCUGCCCGGUAAGCAGAACACUGUGGGUUCGAUUCCAUCCCUGGACA
rnacentral:tRNA from 1 species